AAAGCCAUUGCUUGAGAGUUUCUUUUUUCCUCUUUCUCUGUCUGUUGCGCUGUUUUUGUGUUAUUGGUGGUUAAAGGUUGAUAUUUUGUCACCUCAUGAGGUGAUGUAGAUCAAACCCAGAAUGCCGAAACACUGAAACUAAUAAAUUUACAUAUAGGCCAAAAGCCAUUGCUUGAGAGUUUCCCUUUUCCUCUUUCUCUGUCUGUUGCCCUGUUUUUGGGUUAUUGGUGGUUAAAUUUCAAUAAAACUAAAGGUACACGCAGAAGGGUUUCC
rnacentral:lncRNA from 1 species